UUUCCAUAAAGAAAAUUCCAAUUCGGUGGCUUUCUAAGAAGUCUGCUGUGAGAGCUCAAUCAAUCCCGCAAUUUAAAUUUCUACAACUUCGGGAAAAUCAGCUUUGUUUUUUCAUUUUUUGGUGUCAAGCAUGGAAGAUCGUAAGGAGAAAAAUGGAGCAUGGCUAUCAGUGCCACAAUUUGGGGACUGGGAGCAGAAAGGGCAGGUGCCGGAUUACUCGCUUGACUUCUCAAAAGAUAAGGGAAACGAGGAAGCAAAACAAGAGGGAAGUUUCAAGAGCCAGUCUUGGAAACGAAGAAGAAUUUAUUAACCCCACUGCCACCGCUGCCCUACCGCCCAUGAUCCUCACCAUUACCCUCCUCAAACCAUCACACCCCUACUACGAAGAGGGGUAUCUUCAGCUGCUUCAACUGCUGCAUCAAGGCUUGGGUCUGAUGAAAUCGAA